rnacentral:rRNA from 1 species
UACGUAGGUCCCGAGCGUUAUCCGGAUUUAUUGGGCGUAAAGCGAGCGCAGGCGGUUGGAUAAGUCUGAAGUUAAAGGCUGUGGCUCAACCAUAGUAUGCUUUGGAAACUGUUCAACUUGAGUGCAGAAGGGGAGAGUGGAAUUCCAUGUGUAGCGGUGGAAUGCGUAGAUAUAUGGAGGAACACCGGUGGCGAAAGCCGCUCUCUGGUCUGUAACUGACGCUGAGGCUCGAAAGCGUGGGUAGCGAACAGG